rnacentral:lncRNA from 1 species
UGGGUUGGCGGACAGGGGAAGGAGCGAAGAUGGCGGAGUGAGGCGUGCCCCGGGCAGCUGGCCUGCGGGCCCGGGGCAGGCCUCCCGUGAGAAGCGGAGUACUUGUGCUGGACCGUGUGAGGAACCAUAUCACACAAGAUGAAUAUUUUCCUGACCUUAGGUGCUUUUAUAUUCAGCUCAACAUUCUGAACUCAGGACUUGGCACGAAUUCCUAUGUGGACUGCUCAGUGAGGCGUCCUGGUUCUUCCAUCCUGUUACUUUCCCCAGUGAGAUGCAGAUGUCUUUCGACAGAUUACCUCCAUGGUUUAGGAUGCAGAGACUGCCUUUCUUUUACGUCAGACUCAACACAGGAAAGCCGUGAGGAUGCAGCCGUCCUGUUGACUUCAGCAAGAAAACAAACCAUGGACUUGGGUCUUCUGCAGCUUUUGAAUUGGAAAGACGGUGUUUGCAAGUAGAAGGAAGAUGCUGAAUUUGAAACAAGUGCUUAGGUUCUGUGGCGUGAGUUGUUUUCUUUUUAAAAGAUCCAAACAAGAAGACUGAACAAAUACCAAGUGUGGGUGACUUCAGGUUUUUUUUUUAAUGUCUUCCAAUUUUAACACUAUUAUAAGCACAGUUGACCGCAGGAGCUGCUCAUUAAUACAAACCAGGAAAGAAACCAUUCUGCCCAAGUACCCUCACCACCCUCCAGCUCUCAGCAGGAACUGGCCUGAGUGUCAUAAACAGGCGCCACCAUCAGUGUGAAGUUCAGUGCUGACUGAGGACCCGGCAAGGCCCUGCAGCAAGGUGGUUUUGUAGGAUACAGAAGUUCAGACUCAGGCUGUGCUGUGGCUCUGUUUACAACUGCAGAGCUGGAGUUGUUCUUCAGAUGAGUCGGUCAAAAUGUGUCACUUGCCUGAAACUUGAUUCCUGAGGAACAGGAGAAAACUUUCUUCUUCCAAAAAAUAUAUUUAUUUGGAUAAAUGAAUAUUGGUUUGUUAUAAUAGUGAAAGGAACAGAAGUGUAAUCUACUGGCAGAACAUUUACCUGAGAAAAUGGGUUUAAUUGCAGCACUACCAAAAAAAACCUCAUGGUGGUAACAUAAGAAUUUCUUGACUUUGAAAUGCAAGUUACAAAAUGAUUUUGACAAAUGAGAAGUAUUUAUAAUGUCUGAAAGGCCUAAAUAGAUUUCAAAUAAAACUGUUUCACUGGAUUCAGUCCAAUUUACCUGUUAUAUGAUGGAAAACUAGUUCCAAAUUUAACUUUCACCGUGGUCCUUUGCUAUGGAUGUCAACUGGAAUGGUGACUCCUAACCUUCAGAACUGAACUAAAGUUGUCAGUGUGAUGGUUGCUUUCCACUGAAACACAGGAAUCAAAGUAUGUGUUGUAUCCCAAAUAGAAGUGUUCUUUGCCACUUACUAAUAAAGAUGUAAGGUCAGAGUUCUUCCUUCUAGCAUUCUCUUCCUAAUAGUCACCAAAGUCAAAGCAUCAAACGGCAAGACUUGGUGUGUAUUUGGUAGACUCAGGCUUUAUAAGAUACCUUUAAAGGGGCUUGAGAGAUGGCUCAGCAAUUUAGAGUACUGGCUGCUCUUCCAAAGGCCCUGAGUUCAAAUCCCAGCAACCAGAUGGUGGCUCACAACCACCCAUAAUGAGAUCUGACGCCCUCUUCUGGUGUGUCUGAAGACAGCAAAAGCGUACUUAUUUUAUUUAUAAUAAUAAAUAAAUCUUUGGGCCAAAGGGAGCAGGGACUGAACGAGUGGGGCCAGCCAGAGCAAGUGGGGUUAACCAGAGCAAGCAGAGGACCUAAAAUUCAAUUCCCAACAACCACAUGAAGGCUCACAACCAUCUGUUCAGUUACAGUGUACUCAUAUGUAUAAAAUAAAUAAAUCUUUUUUAAAAAAGAUACUUUUAAAGGCAGAAUACAGUUAGGAUUAAUGGUGAUUUUCCAAACAUUUUGACAUCUUUGGUAAUGGUAUGCUGUAUCCUUAAUUUAAAUGUUCUUUUGUGCUUGGAACAUAGCUCUUGGAGAACACUUGGACUCAGGCCAGUCCUCAACACUUGACACCCUAUCCCAAAGAUCAGACAAGAAUUGUGUCAGUGUGUUAUCAGUCUAUAAACAACAUUACUAGUCUGAGCCUAAGCAUCCCUGUAAUGACAAAGAUUAAGAGCGGUAAUCGACUUGAGAGUGGUGCAUUUUCUGCCCUUCAAGCAUAGGUGUCACUGUUCGCUUGCCCUUCCUUGUAUCUUGUAUUGCGCCACCAGUGUAUGAGGUGAUGUUAAAGAGCACCAGUGAAUGUUUAAAGCACUCUAAAAGGCAGCUUCUUAAUCUAUGCAUCUUUGGGAGUUUUGAAGAAAUUUGACUUCUUGGGAAAGGAACUGUUUUUUGAGAGUCUGAAACUGCACCUGUAUGUAUAUAUUUUUAGCAAUAAAGCAUGAGCAGAGAAUGCACUGAAA